rnacentral:piRNA from 1 species
UGACACAUAGGGUCUCUUCCAGUUCUAAGU